AGGGUUUGAUCCUGGCUCAGAUUGAACGCUGGCGGCGUGCCUAACACAUGCAAGUCGAGCGGUAACAGGUGUAGCAAUACAUGCUGACGAGCGGCGGACGGGUGAGCAAUGUUUGGGAAUCUGCCUAUUAGUGGGGGACAACCCGGGGAAACUCGGGCUAAUACCGCAUACGAUCUACGGAUGAAAGCCGGGGACCGCAAGGCCUGGCGCUAAUAGAUGAGCCCAAAUCGGAUUAGCUAGUUGGUGAGGUAACGGCUCACCAAGGCGACGAUCCGUAGCUGGUCUGAGAGGACGACCAGCCACACCGGAACUGAGACACGGUCCGGACUCCUACGGGAGGCAGCAGUGGGGAAUAUUGGACAAUGGGCGAAAGCCUGAUCCAGCGACGCCGCGUGGGUGAAGAAGGCCUGCGGGUUGUAAAGCCCUUUCGGUGGGGAAGAGAAGCCCCGUUUUAAUACAGCGGGGUCUUGACGUAACCCAAGAAAGAAGCACCGGCUAACUCUGUGCCAGCAGCCGCGGUAAUACAGAGGGUGCGAGCGUUAAUCGGAAUUACUGGGCGUAAAGCGCGCGUAGGCGGCUUUGCAAGUCGGGUGUGAAAUCCCCAGGCUUAACCUGGGAACUGCAUUCGAGACUGCAUUGCUAGAGUAUGGGAGAGGGAAGUGGAAUUUCAGGUGUAGCGGUGAAAUGCGUAGAUAUCUGAAGGAACAUCAGUGGCGAAAGCGACUUCCUGGACCAAUACUGACGCUCAUGUGCGAAAGCGUGGGGAGCAAACAGGAUUAGAUACCCUGGUAGUCCACGCCAUAAAC
rnacentral:rRNA from 1 species